CUGGUUUUGUUUUGGUAUUUGUUUAGAGCAUUAAUCAUAAUUAUAUAGCUGCCUUUGCAGGCGCUCAGAAACUCGCUUCGCUUUUCAACCACGAACCGAAAAAUAUGGGCAACGGUAAAUUUCUCAAUAUGGCCGCUCUGAAAUGUCAUCUGUUUAAAUAAAAACACCAGUUGGCGAAAAAUUCAAAAAACUGCACGCGCAUUUUAAAAUGGAAAAGUUUCUUAAAUUGCAAGAUUUUGAUGAGGAUUUUGCCGAAGUUGAGGGAAAAUUAACGGAGUAUAGGCUAUUGCCAAUAUUAAAGAAAUCGCCAUCUGUUUGGGCCUAUCAACAGCAUGGGUGUUUUUGGGAGCGCGAUGUUCCUGGAAGCAGCGAAUCUUUUUUUGUAGAAUAUUUUCGAAUUAAUAGGGAGGAGUU